rnacentral:rRNA from 1 species
GAUGAACGCUGGCGGCGUGCCUAAUACAUGCCAGUCGAGCGAACAGACGAGGAGCUUGCUCCUCUGACGUUAGCGGCGGACGGGUGAGUAACACGUGGAUAACCUACCUAUAAGACUGGGAUAACUUCGGGAAACCGGAGCUAAUUCCGGAUGAUAUAUUGAACCGCAUGGUUCAAUAGUGAAAGACGGUUUUGCUGUCACUUAUAGAUGGAUCCGCGCCGCAUUAGCUAGUUGGUAAGGUAACGGCUUACCAAGGCAACGAUGCGUAGCCGACCUGAGAGGGUGAUCGGCCACACUGGAACUGAGACACGGUCCAGACUCCUACGGGAGGCAGCAGUAGGGAAUCUUCCGCAAUGGGCGAAAGCCUGACGGAGCAACGCCGCGUGAGUGAUGAAGGUCUUCGGAUCGUAAAACUCUGUUAUUAGGGAAGAACAAAUGUGUAAGUAACUAUGCACGUCUUGACGGUACCUAAUCAGAAAGCCACGGCUAACUACGUG